rnacentral:misc_RNA from 1 species
GUGAAGAACGUAGCGAAAUGCGAUAAGUAAUGUGAAUUGCAGAAUUCAGUGAAUCAUCGAAUCUUUGAACGCACAUUGCGCCCCCUGGUAUUCCGGGGGGCAUGCCUGUCCGAGCGUCAUUGCUGCCCUCAAGCACGGCUUGUGUGUUGGGCCUCCGUCCUCCUCCCGGGGGACGGGCCCGAAAGGCAGCGGCGGCACCGCGUCCGGUCCUCGAGCGUAUGGGGCUUCGUCACCCGCUCUUGUAGGCCCGGCCGGCGCUUGCCGACACAUCAAUCUUUUUUCCAGGUUGACCUCGGAUCAGGUAGGGAUACCCGCUGAACUUAAGCAUAUCAAUAAGCGGAGGA